rnacentral:rRNA from 1 species
UACGUAGGGUGCGAGCGUUGUCCGGAAUUACUGGGCGUAAAGAGCUCGUAGGUGGUUUGUCGCGUUGUUCGUGAAAUCUCACGGCUUAACUGUGAGCGUGCGGGCGAUACGGGCAGACUAGAGUACUGCAGGGGAGACUGGAAUUCCUGGUGUAGCGGUGGAAUGCGCAGAGAUCAGGAGGAACACCGGUGGCGAAGGCGGGUCUCUGGGCAGUAACUGACGAUGAGGAGCGAAAGAGUGGGGAGCGAACAGG